rnacentral:rRNA from 1 species
UACGUAGGGUGCGAGCGUUAAUCGGAUUUACUGGGCGUAAAGCGUGCGCAGGCGGCCCGUUAAGACAGGUGUGAAAUCCCUGGGCUCAACCUAGGAAUUGCGCUUGUGACUGGCGGGCUCGAGUACGGUAGAGGGGGGUGGAAUUCCUGGUGUAGCAGUGAAAUGCGUAGAUAUCGGGAGGAAGGCCGGUGGCGAAGGCGGCCCUCUGGGCCUGUACUGACACUGAGGCUCGAAAGCGUGGGGAGCGAACAGG